AGAGUUUGAUCCUGGCUCAGAUUGAACGCUGGCGGCAGGCCUAACACAUGCAAGUCGAACGGUAACAUUUCUAGCUUGCUAGAAGAUGACGAGUGGCGGACGGGUGAGUAAUGCUUGGGAACUUGCCUUUGUGAGGGGGAUAACAGUUGGAAACGACUGCUAAUACCGCAUAAUGUCUACGGACCAAACGGGGCUUCGGCUCCGGCGCAAAGAGAGGCCCAAGUGAGAUUAGCUAGUUGGUAAGGUAGCGGCUUACCAAGGCGACGAUCUCUAGCUGUUCUGAGAGGAAGAUCAGCCACACUGGGACUGAGACACGGCCCAGACUCCUACGGGAGGCAGCAGUGGGGAAUAUUGCACAAUGGGGGAAACCCUGAUGCAGCCAUGCCGCGUGUGUGAAGAAGGCCUUCGGGUUGUAAAGCACUUUCAGUUGUGAGGAAAAGUUAGUAGUUAAUACCUGCUAGCCGUGACGUUAACAACAGAAGAAGCACCGGCUAACUCCGUGCCAGCAGCCGCGGUAAUACGGAGGGUGCGAGCGUUAAUCGGAAUUACUGGGCGUAAAGCGCACGCAGGCGGUUUGUUAAGCUAGAUGUGGAAGCCCCGGGCUCAACCUGGGAUGGUCAUUUAGAACUGGCAGACUAGAGUCUUGGAGAGGGGAGUGGAAUUCCAGGUGUAGCGGUGAAAUGCGUAGAUAUCUGGAGGAACAUCAGUGGCGAAGGCGACUCCCUGGCCAAAGACUGACGCUCAUGUGCGAAAGUGUGGGUAGCGAACAGGAUUAGAUACCCUGUAGUCCACACCGUAAACGCUGUCUACUAGCUGUGUGUGCCUUUAAGGCGUGCGUAGCGAAGCUAACGCGCUAAGUAGACCGCCUGGGGGAGUACGGCCGCAAGGUUAAAACUCAAAUGAAUUGACGGGGGCCCGCACAAGCGGUGGAGCAUGGUGGUUUAAUUCGAUGCAACGCGAAGAACCUUACCUACCACUUGACAUGCAGAGACUUUCUAGAAGAAAAGAUUGGUGCUUCGGGACUCUGACACAGUGCUGCAUGGCUGUCGUCAGCUCGGGUCGUGAAAUGUUUGGGGUAAGUUCCGCACGAGGCCAUCAUGUUCUUAGUUGCAGGCUUAGUGGCACCCUAAGGAACUGCGUACAUCGAGAGGGUUGGACGACGUCAGUCUACUCAUGGCCCCUGA
rnacentral:rRNA from 1 species